rnacentral:rRNA from 1 species
GAUGAACGCUGGCGGCGUGCCUAACACAUGCAAGUCGAGCGAGAAGUUUGAAAAAUGAGUUUUCGAACAAGUGAUUCAAACGGAAAGCGGCGGACGGGUGAGUAACGCGUAGGCAACCUGCCCCGUGCAGAGGGACAGCCUCGGGAAACCGGGAUUAAGACCUCGUGAUAUCGGGUUAUCACAUGGUAAUCCGGUCAAAGAUUUAUCGGCAUGGGAUGGGCCUGCGUCUGAUUAGCUGGUUGGUGGGGUAACGGCCUACCAAGGCGACGAUCAGUAGCAGAACUGAGAGGUUCAUCUGCCACAUUGGAACUGAGACACGGUCCAAACUCCUACGGGAGGCAGCAGUGAGGAAUAUUGCACAAUGGGCGAAAGCCUGAUGCAGCAACGCCGCGUGAGCGAAGAAGGCCUUUGGGUCGUAAAGCUCUGUCCUUGGGGAAGAACAAAUGACGGUACCCUUGGAGGAAGCCCCGGCUAACUACGUGCCAGCAGCCGCGGUAAA